GCGGGUGUAGCUCAGUGGUAGAGCACAACCUUGCCAAGGUUGGGGUCGAGGGUUCGAAUCCCUUCACCCGCU
rnacentral:tRNA from 1 species